rnacentral:rRNA from 1 species
GAUGAACGCUGGCGGCGUGCCUAAUACAUGCAAGUCGAGCGAACAGAUAAGGAGCUUGCUCCUUUGACGUUAGCGGCGGACGGGUGAGUAACACGUGGGUAACCUACCUAUAAGACUGGGAUAACUUCGGGAAACCGGAGCUAAUACCGGAUAAUAUUUCGAACCGCAUGGUUCGAUAGUGAAAGAUGGUUUUGCUAUCACUUAUAGAUGGACCCGCGCCGUAUUAGCUAGUUGGUAAGGUAACGGCUUACGAAGGCGACGAUACGUAGCCGACCUGAGAGGGUGGUCGGCCACACUGGAAGUGAGACACGGUCCAGACUCCUACGGGAGGCAGCAGUAGGGAAUCUUCCGCAAUGGGCGAAAGCCUGACGGAGCAACGCCGCGUGAGUGAUGAAGGUCUUCGGAUCGUAAAACUCUGUUAUUAGGGAAGAACAGACGUGUAAGUAACUGUGCACGUCUUGACGGUACCUAAUCAGAAAGCCACGGCUAACUACGUG